rnacentral:rRNA from 1 species
GACGAACGCUGGCGGCGUGCUUAACACAUGCAAGUCGAACGGAAAGGCCCUGCUUUUGUGUGGUGCUCGAGUGGCGAACGGGUGAGUAACACGUGAGUAACCUGCCCUUUACUUUGGGAUAACUUCAGGAAACUGGGGCUAAUACCGGAUAGGAGCUCCUGCUGCAUGGUGGGUGUUGGAAAGUUUCGGCUGUUGGGGAUGGACUCGCGGCUUAUCAGCUUGUUGGUGGUGUAGUGUCUUACCAAGGCUUUGACGCGUAGCCGGCCUGAGAGGGUGACCAGACACAUUGGGACUGAGAUACGGCAGAGACUCCUACGGCAGGCAGCAGUAGGGAAUAUUCCACAAUGGGCCGAAGUCUGAUGCAGCAACGCCGUGUGCGGAAUGACGGCCUUCGGGUUGUAAACUGCUUUCGACUGUGACGAAGCGUGAGUGGCGGUAAUGGGUAAAGAAGCACCGGCUAACUACGUG